CAUUUAGUGCAAUCCACACACGAGUCAGUGGAUGAAAAAUAGAAAAAGACAAAUGGAUUCCAUUAUAGAACUAGUUUUGAAUGUUAUUAUGUAGCAUUUUCUAUGUGCUGUAUAUCUAUGAUUAACUUGGAUCUUUUUGGCACUUCACCUCUGACAACGUUACCUCCUGCUACCUUGGUGUAGUGGAGGGUAAACACAGCUUACCCACUUUUUUUUGUGGGACCCUUUGUGGAAAAAUGUAUUGGAAGUAUAGGUAGCGUUACUUUUUUCACUGCAACUGGUGAAUCAGAGUUUACCCACAUAUUUUUUAAACACUACAUCACUGUUAGCAUAUCCUCUAUACCAUUACAAACAACUUACUGCCCAGGGGUAUGACUUCAGGAAGUACAAAAUACCUUCCGAUACCCUAUUACAACAUGCAGCAGCUUGAUUUGCUUCCGAGUCCAAAUGCCUGGCAUAGCCAGCUCCAUUAGCUAGAGACUACCCAAGACAAGAAUAGACUGUUUUCCAGCCUCUCUAAAAGUCGGAUGCAUCUCACCCCAGGACUCAGCCAUCCUUGACAAAUGAGAACAAAUAAAUGUGUGUUGUGUCUCCUCAGUCCUAUUUUGAGGGAUGUUUACACCAAGUUCCCACAGCGUUUGUAAGAAAAAUGCAUUUUCAGAGAUAUGCAGACAAUGUUUACAGACAUCGUCUUUGAGGCUACCCUUUUCUUAUUUCUAAGGGGUGAACAAACAUCAGAUGUACAGUAUCUGCCAAAUAAUCCCAACAAAUUACAAUGCAGUAACAGAUGCUCAUUAGCCCUAGUCAACAGUACAGGCUUUCCCAUACAAACAGGUCAAAAAUACAAUGACUUUGUAUCACCGUGAGUCAUACCUAAUGAGAGUGUAACUUUCUUUUGAUUCGCCACAGAACUUCAAGCCUUGAGCUCAUAAUUGUGGCAGUAGUCAGUCAGUCACACAUUGCGGUGGCACCACCAAUGAAAGGCACCUUGUUGCAGGACUCUGGCCUGUGGAGUGGGCCCCGGCCAGCACGAUGACCUGUCACUUUAAUUGCAACGCUGUCACUCAGGCCGAGUGCAGAGAUUCCUUUUAUUCUCCCAUAGCCCCCUUGCUCCUAAAGUGGUGUCUGACACGUGCCACAAUGUAAGCAUUUCGCCGCGCUCUGACAAGACGAUAAUAAGAAUGACUUACCCCUCCCCUGGACUGGAAGGCAUUACGUGUUCUUCUAAGUUUAGAGGGCAUAAUUUAUGGUAAUUAUAGUGCUUAGAACCAAACAGCUCCAAAAGGAUCUUACAGUGUGCACAACUAUGCCAGAAAAAAAGAAACAAAUGAGCAGAAAUAGAGAAAAUGUUGGAUUUGAAUUAUUCUUCUCUGCUGAUAUUUGUUUUAUAUCAAAUGUGUGUUUAUAGCUCAAUAAAGUUGCUAUCCGUAAAGUCAGUGCUAGUAGCGGGGGAAAAAAUUAGGGAUUAUUUAUGACUCUUUGAAGAGGUAGGGUUUCAGAUGUUUUCGGAAAAUGGGCAGGGACUCUGCUGUCCUAGUUUCAGGGGGAAGCUGGUUCCACCAUUGGGGUGCCAGAACAGAGAAGAGCUUGGACUGGGCUGAGUGGGAGCUGCCAUCCCCUAGGGGUGGGAGAGACAAAAGACCAGAAGUGGUACAACGGAGUAUUCGGAUUGGGGUGUUGGGUUUGAGCAUAGCUUGAAAGUAAGGAGGGGCAGUUCAUCUUGCUGCUCAGUAGGCAAGUGCCAUGGUCUUGAAGUGGAGGAAUAAGGAGGGAGGAGAAGGUGAAAAAGAGUUUCCUAGGGUUAGAGUGAUAGAAAGUGGCUUUAGCAGCGGGUACAGAGGAAGAGACGCUUGAGAGGAGGGUGUGAAAGGAUGGUAGGUCCUCCAGAAGUUUCGUUUUCCUCAAUUUUCACUCAGCUGCCCUGUUCUGUAAGCUCACAAUGAGUCACUUGGCCUCUGAGCAGAAGGGGAGGGCUGAGACAGCCAGGAAGAAAGGGGACAGAGCGAGUCAGAGGAUGCGUAAAGGAAGGAAAGUAGGGUCGAGGGAAGCAGAAUGAGGAGACAGGAGGGAGAAGGAUUUAGCAGAAGGGAGAGAUGAUAGAAUAGAAGAGGAGAGAGUAGUGGGAGAGAGAGAGCGAAGAUUGUGAUGACACAUGACCAUCUGGGCAGGGGCUGAGUGGGUGGGGUUGGAGGAGAGAGAGACAGAAAAGUAGUGAUCAUUAAUAGUGAACUGGAGGGGGGUUGCGACGAGAUUAGUAGGUGAACAGCCUCUAGUAAAGAUGAGGUCAAGCAUAUUGCCUGCCUUGUGAGUGGGAGAGGUCUGGGGAAGGGUGAGGUCAAAAGAGGCAAGGAGGAGAAAGUAAGACGUUGAAAGAAAUGAAUCGAAGGCAGAUGUUGGGAGAUUGAAGUGGUCCAGUGCGAUGAGCGGUGAGCCAUCGUCAGGAAAUGAGUUUAUCAAGGUGUCAAUCUCAUUGAGGAACUCUCCAAGGGCACCUGGUGGGCGAUAGAUGACAUGAAAAAUUACACUUGAGUGGACAAGUGAUAGUGACAGCAUGGAAUUCAAAUGAGGAGAUGGACAGAUGGGUGAGGGAGAGAAGAGGAAAUCUCCACCUAGGACAACUGAGUAGCCCUGUGCCACCACCGCGAUGACCAGUUGCUCUCGGACUAGGAGAGAACACGGAGUCAAAUGAAAAGAGAGCAGCUGUGUGAUCCAUGUCUCCGUCCAGGGGCAAAAAGUCUAGAGACUGAAGGGCAGCAUAGGCUGAGAUGAACUCGGCGUUUUUGACCGCAGAUCGGCAGUUCCAAACAUUGCAAGAGACCAGGAAUUCCACAUAGGGUACACUAAAUUAGAAGGGUUGUAGCCAAGGGGUGGGGAGCGUGUGUAAAGCCUACAGGAAGAGGAGUGGACAGUUCCUGGCAUUCACUCAGCAGAGCUGCUGUUAGAAGAGGACUUGGAGGAGAGACGACUGGCCUAACGACAACAAACCAUCUGCUACAUCAGCUACAAUUUAGGGGAAAUUGCCAAGAAUAAACUCAUUGUGCCCUCAGAUUGUUAAUAUUAACGAGGUAGACGCUGGGGGAUUUGGAGCAUUUAUCUAAACGAUAAAGAUACAAUAGGGACGUGGCAUGCUAUGACACCUGAUGCUGUUCUCUCUAAUAGGAUGAGAAACAAUCCAACAAGCAGCCGUCUGUUUCCGAUCUGGUGAUUUCAAUAAAUUAUCUCAUAAAAUAUCAUUCCAAAUGCAUCCAUAUAUAAACAUUGCUGCUUUCAAUACAGUAAAUCUGUGUUAUGCCAAAACAGAGAUUAAAAUGCAAUGCACACUGAUUAAGUAAAGUCCAGGACCUAUUACUGAUUACCUGUCUCAUUCUUACUGACAGUUGUGGCUGCUUUGUGUGAUGUAUUGUUGUCUCUACCUUCUUGCCCUUUGUGCUAUUGUCUGUGCCCAAUAAUGUUUGUACCAUGUUUUGUGCUGCUGCCAUGUUGUGUUGCUACCAUGCUGUGUUGUCAUGUGUUGCUGCCAUGCUAUAUUGUUGUCUUAGGUCUCUCUUUAUGUAGUGUUGUCUCUCUUGUCGUGAUGUGUGUUUUGUACUAUAUCUUUAUUGAAUUUCUUUUUAAUCCCAGCCCCCGUCCCCGCAGGAGGCCUUUUGCCUUUUGGUAGGCAGUCAUUGUAAAUAAUAAUUUGUUCUUAACUGACUUGCCUAGUUAAAUAAAGGUUAAAUAAAAAAAUAAUAUAAAAGUAAAAAUAAAAGUGAUAUACAUUUCCUUGGUGGCAGCACUAUUAUAUAUUACUGUAUAUAAGAGGCAAAAGCUAGUAAUGACACUUCAACACAAAGCUCUCUAUAUUGUGUUAAAAAAAGUAUUAUUCUGGAUGUACUCUGUGGUGGACGGCUGUUUGAUUGACCAGUGAAACGGGUACAGAG
rnacentral:lncRNA from 1 species